CAAGGUGAGUCCCAAUUAUUUAGAAUAAGACUUUGGUUGUUCUUUGUAUACAAGUUGAUGUAUAAUCAACCCAUAAUUAUGUAUGUUGCUCAAAUUAGGCACAAAAAUUAGAAAACUUUGAUUUUUGGUGGGAUUGUUUUCGGCAGGCAGAAGCAUUAAUGGUGUUUCUAACCGGAGCUUAAAGUCCCACAAGCGAAAGGACAGGUGGAAAAAGCGGAUUACAGCCUUUGCGAAAAAAAAUGUGUUAACAUCAACGCUAACUAUUCGGGCACCAUCACCACAUAUA